GAUAGCGAAGAAAGUACCGUGAGGGAAAGGUGAAAAGAACCCUGAAUAAGGGAGUGAAAUAGACCCUGAAACCAUACGCUUACAAGCGGUCGGAGCUGAUUUAUCAGUGACGGCGUGCCUUUUGCAUAAUGAGCCUACGAGUUACCGUUGCUAGCGAGGUUAAACACUUCAGGUGUGGAGCCGUAGCGAAAGCGAGUCUGAAUAGGGCGCUAUAGUUAGUAGUGGUAGACGCGAAACCGUGUGAUCUACCCAUGGGCAGGUUGAAGCUGUGGUAACACACAGUGGAGGACCGAACCGGUUGACGUUGAAAAGUCUUCGGAUGACCUGUGGGUAGGGGUGAAAGGCCAAUCAAACUCGGAAAUAGCUCGUACUCCCCGAAAUGCAUUUAGGUGCAGCGUAUUAAUAGUUUUAUAGAGGUAGAGCUACUGAUUGGAUGCGGGGGCUUCACCGCCUACCAAUUCCUGACAAACUCCGAAUGCUAUAAAAUGUUUUAAUGCAGUGAGGGCAUGGGUGCUAAGGUCCAUGUCCGAGAGGGAAAGAACCCGGACCAUCAGCUAAGGUCCCCAAAUAUAUACUAAGUUGAAUAAACGAGGUUUGACUGCCUAGACAGCUAGGAUGUUGGCUUGGAAGCAGCCAUUCAUUUAAAGAGUGCGUAACAGCUCACUAGUCGAGCGGUCGAGCAUGGAUAAUAAUCGGGCAUAAGUAUAUUACCGAAGCUAUGGACUCCAAUGGAGUGGUAGGGGAGCAUUCUAUCUGCGCAGAAUGUGGUCUGCGAGGACUGCUGGAGCGGAUAGAAAAGAAAAUGUAGGCAUAAGUAACGAUAAUGCGGGCGAGAAACCCGCACACCGAAAGACUAAGGUUUCCUCAGCUAUGCUAAUCAGCUGAGGGUUAGUCGGGACCUAACGCGAACCCGAAAGGGGUAGUGGAUGGACAACAGGUUAAUAUUCCUGUACCUGCUCACGUUAAAAGUGACGGAGGCGAAAAGUUAGUGCGCACUGACGGAAUAGUGCGUUGAAGAGAGUGGUAACACCUCGAUAGUACAGUAAGGCUACGGCCGCGCUGAUAAUCUAGCAAAUCGACUUCCAAGAAAACCGAGUGAAGCAGCCCGUACCGUAAACCGACACAGGUAGUUGGGAUGAGAAUUCUAAGGUGCUCGAGAGAUUCAUGGCUAAGGAACUAGGCAAAAUCGACCUGUAACUUCGGGAGAAAGGUCGCCCAUCUUCGGAUGGGCCGCAGUGAAAAGGUCCAGGCGACUGUUUAUCAAAAACAUAGGGCUUUGCUAAAUCGAAAGAUGAUGUAUAAGGCCUGACACCUGCCCGGUGCUGGAAGGUUAAGAGGAGGGUUUAGCUUCGGCGAAGAUCUGAAUUGAAGCCCCAGUAAACGGCGGCCGUAACUAUAACGGUCCUAAGGUAGCGAAAUUCCUUGUCGGGUAAGUUCCGACCUGCACGAAUGGCGUAACGACUUCCCCACUGUCUCCAGGAUAUGCUCAGCGAAAUUGAAUUCUCCGUGAAGAUGCGGAGUACCCGCGGUUAGACGGAAAGACCCCGUGCACCUUUACUGCAGCUUCAGAGUGGCAUUAGGAAAGAGUUGUGUAGCAUAGGUGGGAGGCUUUGAAACUUGGGCGCCAGUCCAAGUGGAGCCAUAGGUGAAAUACCACCCUGCUGUUUUCUGAUGUCUAACUAACUACCGUUAUCCGGUAGUAGGACCCUCUGUGGCGGGUAGUUUGACUGGGGCGGGCGCCCCCCCAAAAGGAAAGGGGGGG
rnacentral:rRNA from 1 species